rnacentral:rRNA from 1 species
AGCGAACGCUGGCGGCAUGCUUAACACAUGCAAGUCUCACGGGCAGCAAUGUCAGUGACGGACGGGUGAGUAGCGCGUAGGUAUCUAUCUCCGGGUGGGGGAUAACCGUGGGAAACUACGGCUAAUACCGCAUGAUGACCGAGGUCCAAAGGCGCAAGUCGCCUGGAGAGGAGCCUGCGUACGAUUAGCUUGUUGGUGGGGUAAAGGCCUACCAAGGCGACGAUCGUUAGCUGGUCUGAGAGGAUGAUCAGCCACAUUGGGACUGAGACACGGCCCAAACUCCUACGGGAGGCAGCAGUGGGGAAUAUUGGACAAUGGGCGAAAGCCUGAUCCAGCAAUGCCGCGUGUGUGAAGAAGGUCUUC